rnacentral:rRNA from 1 species
CAACCUGCCGUCUACUCUUGGACAGCCUUCUGAAAGGAAGAUUAAUACAAGAUGGCAUCAUGAGUUCACAUGUUCACAUGAUUAAAGGUAUUCCGGUAGACGAUGGGGAUGCGUUCCAUUAGAUAGUAGGCGGGGUAACGGCCCACCUAGUCUUCGAUGGAUAGGGGUUCUGAGAGGAAGGUCCCCCACAUUGGAACUGAGACACGGUCCAAACUCCUACGGGAGGCAGCAGUGAGGAAUAUUGGUCAAUGGGCGAGAGCCUGAACCAGCCAAGUAGCGUGAAGGAUGACUGCCCUAUGGGUUGUAAACUUCUUUUAUAAAGGAAUAAAGUCGGGUAUGUAUACCCGUUUGCAUGUACUUUAUGAAUAAGGAUCGGCUAACUCCGUGCCAGCAGCCGCGGUAAUACGGAGGAUCCGAGCGUUAUCCGGAUUUAUUGGGUUUAAAGGGAGCGUAGAUGGAUGUUUAAGUCAGUUGUGAAAGUUUGCGGCUCAACCGUAAAAUUGCAGUUGAUACUGGAUAUCUUGAGUGCAGUUGAGGCAGGCGGAAUUCGUGGUGUAGCGGUGAAAUGCUUAGAUAUCACGAAGAACUCCGAUUG